rnacentral:lncRNA from 1 species
UAGUAUAGAGACACUGGAGUGAGAGUGCAGGUAGUUGUUAGAGAACAACUAGCACUAAGCGUGACCAACACGAGAAGUCAUAUAAAUGUCUGCUCACUCGUUAGUGACUUUCUCGAUGCUGCAGUUAUAUGACUGAUCCUUUGACCUGAGAUGAUACUACUGCUCGCAGUGAGGCUAUUGGAGUUUGACUGACACAUCAACAUGGAUCUCAAUAAACCCUUGUAGUGGAUGUUGGCGACAAUU